GUAACAGAGGAGCUUGCUCUUGCUGACGACCGGCGCACGGGUGCGUAACGCGUAUACAAUCUGCCUUACACUAAGGGAUAGCCCAGAGAAAUUUGGAUUAACACCUUAUAGUUUAUUUUUAUGGCAUCAUUUAAAUAAUAAAGUUUACGGUGUAAGAUGAGUAUGCGUCCCAUUAGUUUGUUGGUAAGGUAACGGCUUACCAAGACUACGAUGGGUAGGGGCCCUGAGAGGGGGAUCCCCCACACUGGUACUGAGACACGGACCAGACUCCUACGGGAGGCAGCAGUGAGGAAUAUUGGACAAUGGAGGAGACUCUGAUCCAGCCAUGCCGCGUGCAGGAAGACGGUCCUAUGGAUUGUAAACUGCUUUUAUACAGGAAGAAUAAGGACUACGUGUAGUCUGGUGACGGUACUGUAAGAAUAAGGACCGGCUAACUCCGUGCCAGCAGCCGCGGUAAUACGGAGGGUCCGAGCGUUAUCCGGAAUUAUUGGGUUUAAAGGGUCCGUAGGCGGGCUGUUAAGUCAGGGGUGAAAGUUUGCAGCUCAACUGUAGAAUUGCCUUUGAUACUGAUGGUCUUGAAUUAUUGUGAAGUGGUUAGAAUAUGUAGUGUAGCGGUGAAAUGCAUAGAUAUUACAUAGAAUACCGAUUGCGAAGGCAGAUCACUAACAAUUGAUUGACGCUGAUGGACGAAAGCGUGGGUAGCGAACAGGAUUAGAUACCCUGGUAGUCCACGCCGUAAACGAUGGAUACUAGCUGUUUGGAUUUCGAUCUGAGCGGCCAAGCGAAAGUGAUAAGUAUCCCACCUGGGGAGUACGUUCGCAAGAAUGAAACUCAA
rnacentral:rRNA from 1 species